GACGAACGCUGGCGGCGUGCCUAAUACAUGCAAGUCGAACGCAGUGGGGACGGGUGAGUAACACGUGGGUAACCUCGCAUCAGAGGGGAUAACACUUGGAAACAGGUGCUAAACCGAUACUGAUGGAUGGACCCGCGGUGCAUUAGCUAGUUGGGGAGGUAACGGCUCACCAAGGCCACGAUGCAGAGCGGAUCUGAGAGGAUGAUCGGCCAGACUGGGACGGAGACACGGCCCAGACUCCUACGGGAGGCAGCAGUAGGGAAUCUUCGGCAAUGGACGAAAGUCUGACCGAGCAAUGCCGCGUGUGUGAAGAAGGUUUUCGGAUCGUAAAACACUGUUGUUAGAGAAGCGUUACCUAACCAGAAAGCCACGGCUAACUACGUGCCAGCAGCCGCGGUAAUUC
rnacentral:rRNA from 1 species